CGGCGCUCGGGGGCCCGCCAUCGAAGUUAUUGAAAUUCGAAGCUGGGAUAAAUACUUCUAAGUAUCUAUCAUGGCCUGCUGCUUUGUACAAGAAUGUAAUCACAGCAGCACAACAGAUGAGUGCUCUUUUUUUGCUUUCCCUGAGGACACCAAGUCACACUGCAAGUGGGUGAGAUCAAUUUGUGGGAAGGGUGGCGUUGACGGUCAACCAUCAUGUGACUCAAGAAUCUGCUCCUGCCACUUUCCCAAUGGUGACGAGAAUGAGGUGCCGACGCUGUUCCCGUGGAACAACUUCCAGGAUAAAAAAUCGAGUAUCGAUGGACGUAAGGCCGGCGGCUCCAGCCUGCCUGCCGACGGCGCCAGGGUGGUGGACUGUGGCGCCGCAGCCGGCGUUGUGCACGUGCGAGUUGUCCCUGGAGCACGCGAGCCCCUGAGCGCCCCAAACACACCGGAGGUGCCGCGACCGUUCCAGGACAAGAGUGGGGCUGUGCGUCGAAAACGCACACUCCGCUCUGCGGACGGUAUCGAUGGACGUAAGGCCGGCGGCUCCAGCCUGCCUGCCGACGGCGCCAGGGUGGUGGACUGCGGCGCCGCAGCACGCGUUGUGCACGUGCGGGCUGUCCCAAGAGCAGGCAAGCCCUUGAG